rnacentral:misc_RNA from 1 species
UCCGUCAUCGCAUACUUGGAC